CACAGGCCAGUGGCGUCCCUUUGGAGAAGUACUACGUCCAGUCAAAUGGAACAUUAAAAAAGCUUUUUUUUAAUGUUUAUUUAUUUUUGAGAAAGAGCGCGUGCGCUAGAGAGACAGAAUGCGAGUGGGAGAGGGGCAGAGAGAGAGGGAGACACAGAACCCGAAGCAGGCUCCAGGCUCUGAGCGGUCGGCCCAGAGCCCAACACGGGGCUCGAAGCCACGAACCAUGAGAUCAUGACCCGAGCCGACCCAGGCGCCCCUGGAACAUGUGAUAGAAAUGGCUGCACAGCCAGACCCCUAGUGACCUCUUCUUCCUUCUCUCUUCCUUCUCUUCUCUGGAAGAUAUGAGGUUGCUAACCUGGUUGCAGAGUGCCCUGAGCUGAGGGGAGGUGGGGGUGGCAAGUGAGAAGUAGAAACACCGGCUGGCUCCCCGCUGCACGGGGCUGGGGGAUGUGGGCUUCCGGGAAUCCUGUCCUUUUACACGGGCUCAGGGCCUCGGGGGCCUCCCAGUGGAAGAUCAGAGGCCCACGGGAGCCCCACGAGCCCCCACACCCAGCUCAGCGAUGAGGAAGGGCAGCGACCCAGAUGCUGCCUAUUCCAGCGUGGGCUUUAGAGUGUACCCCCUCCCCAUCUCGGUUCCUUCCCUCUUCUGGUGUGUGGGGGGGGGUUCCUUGUGCAUACUUGCACCUCUGCAUAAGUUUACAUUCCAAAGGAGGGUCAGGGCCUCAGAGGACAGGAGCCACGUGAACACACGGGAAGAAGAGGGAACCACAGACACUGAACUAACAACGCUCAGAAGCCAAGGGCAUUAUCUGAUAAUCCAAGUACUAUCACUUUUCAGUCCUGAGAAUGUGGUUUUGAAAUAGCUAUUGCUAAAGAAAACAGUCGCCAUUUAUUUUAUUGCACUUUUCCUCGUUAAAAAUAUUUUAAAACACAAACCAUGAGAGAUGGAACUGAGCUUUGGUGGGAAGGGAAGCAGAAAGAAAGGAAAAGUGAACGGGAUUAGUUUGAAGAAGAAACCCAUCCCAGCUUGUAGAGGACCCUUCACAUCCUGCUUGCUGCUUUGAUGAGGACAAAGAGCUGGUCUCAACAAGGGAAGACUCUGAAGAUACAGAUGAUGGUCACACUAGCCAUGUGGACACCUCCCAGCAUCCAGCGCUCUGUUUGGUUAGCUCAGGUGGCUAAUGACGUUCGGGGUUAAGGUCAUGAGUUCAAGCCUGGCGGUGGACACUUUGCCGAGGCUGGGGAACCCCCACUGUAUAGCCAAGGAGCACCCCCGGCAUUACAGCCUACGUGGACCAGCCUCUCAGACCAGGCAGCCACCACCCAGAUGGAGGCUGUUAUGAUAAUGGGACCCAGAAGAGCCAGAGCUUGGGCAGAGCUCACCAUCCCAACUCCUGGGUAAGCCAUUCAAAGCACCAUGCUCCUCCUGUCUGCCACGGGGGCUAUGCGAUUUGCAAACUGUCCUCUAGUCUCCUUUGGGGAAAGUCAGCCUCCCCUCUUUUCGCCACUACUGUGGGCUGCACUAAAGCCCCAGCUGGAGACUUCUUCGGAGAGCACUGCCCUCUCUCAGCGUGAGUUCGCACUGAUAUUUUACGGCUAACUAUGACGAAGUAAGUCGGCCAAAGUCCUCACUACAAUGGAAUGAGAGAUCCAGGGACAGCAGAUAUGACAAGCCAGUCCUGCAACCCUCCUCACAUGAAGAAGCUGCACGAGCGCUCAGGCUGGGGUUCAGGCCAACAAAGCUUUCACGGAGCCCUUUCCACAUCAAGCCAAUGGAGUCUAGAGCCACACUCCCUGGGGGCCCCUUCCAAAAAGUUAACCUCCUGUUGACAUGCGUCUAUCCUCAGAAGUCCAGCUCAGACA
rnacentral:lncRNA from 1 species